CCAUCAUCACCAUCACCCUGACUAGUCUUUCAGGCGAUGUGUGCUGGAAGACGAUCAGGAUCUUCCAGUGGUGCAGAACGCGAAAUCAGCCCCCGGAAGAUCGCCUUCCGGGGGCUUUUUUUU
rfam:Triticum urartu cultivar G1812 contig585638, whole genome shotgun sequence.